rnacentral:rRNA from 1 species
ACCAGCUUGAAACUCAAAGGACUUGACAGUAUCUCACAUACACCUAGAGGAGCCUGUCCUAUAAUCGAUAACCCACGAUCAACCUCACCAGCCUUUGCACAAACCAGCCUAUAUACCUCCGUCGCCAGUCCGCCUGCUAACAGCUGCCAAAGCGCACAUACCAGCUAACCACUCACACGACAGGUCAAGGUGUAGCUAAUGGGCCGGGCAGAGAUGGGCUACAUUUUCCUCGCUAGAAAACACCCACCGUGCCAUGAAAACCGCACAAGAAGGAGGAUUUAGCAGUAAGAUGGGUAAGGUAUACCCCCCUGAAGUUUACAAUGAGAUGUGUACACACCGCCCGUCACCCUCCUCAAAAAACACAUUUACCUAACUAAGUCUAACACAUAAUAAAGAUGAGGUAAGUCGUAACAUGGUAAGCGUACUGGAAAGUGCGCUUGGCCCAUCUUAAAGGUAGCUUAACUCAAAGCAUUAGGCUUACAACCAAA